rnacentral:rRNA from 1 species
UACGUAGGGUGCAAGCGUUGUCCGGAAUUAUUGGGUGUAAAGAGCUCGUAGGCGGCUUGUCACGUCGGAUGUGAAAAUCCAGGGCUCAACCCUGGACCUGCAUUCGAUACGGGCAGGCUAGAAUUCGGUAGGGGAGACUGGAAUUCCUGGUGUAGCGGUGAAAUGCGCAGAUAUCAGGAGGAACACCGGUGGCGAAGGCGGGUCUCUGGGCCGAUAUUGACGCUGAGGAGCGAAAGCGUGGGGAGCGAACAGG